rnacentral:rRNA from 1 species
AACGCCUGCCCAGUGAACAAUUAAACGGCCGCGGUACCCUAACCGUGCAAAGGUAGCGUAAUCAUUUGUCUAUUAAUUGUAGACCAGCAUGAAAGGCAAAAUGAGGGCCUGUCUGUCUCUUACAGUAAAUCAAUUAAACUGAUCUCCUGGUAAAAAAGCUAGGAUUCAUACACAAGACCAGAAGACCCUGUGAAGCUUAAACUAAACUAUUAAACCCUAUAAUAGCUACUUUCGGUUGGGGCGACCUUGGAAAAAAAAAGAACUUCCAAAUACAUGACCACACUCACACCGGCUCACAAGCCUUACAAUAGACCCAGUAUAACUGAUAAUUGAACCAAGUUACUCCAGGGAUAACAGCGCCAUCUUCUUCAAGAGUCCAUAUCAAAAAGAAGGUUUACGACCUCGAUGUUGGAUCAGGACAUCCUAAUGGUGCAACCGCUAUUAAGGGUUCGUUUGUUCAACGAUUAAUAGUCCUACG